GAUGAACGCUGGCGGCGUGCCUAAUACAUGCAAGUCGAGCGAACAGACGAGGAGCUUGCUCCUCUGACGUUGGCGGCGGACGGGUGAGUAACACGUGGAUAACCUACCUAUAAGACUGGGAUAACUUCGGGAAACCGGAGCUAAUACCGGAUAAUAUAUUGAACCGCAUGGUUCAAUAGUGAAAGACGGUUUUGCUGUCACUUAUAGAUGGAUCCGCGCCGCAUUAGCUAGUUGGUAAGGUAACGGCUUACCAAGGCAACGAUGCGUAGCCGACCUGAGAGGGUGAUCGGCCACACUGGAACUGAGACACGGUCCAGACUCCUACGGGAGGCAGCAGUAGGGAAUCUUCCGCAAUGGGCGAAAGCUUGACGGAGCAACGCUGCGUGAGUGAUGAAGGUCUUCGGAUCGUAAAACUCUGUUAUUAGGGAAGAACAAAUGUGUAAGUAACUAUGCACGUCUUGACGGUACCUAAUCAGAAAGCCACGGCUAACUACGUG
rnacentral:rRNA from 1 species